UCACUACUUGCGUAGGCAGUCUGGCUAGAGUCCCCACCAUAACGUGCUGGUAACUAACCACAGGGGAUCGCUCCCCUGGGGGCCAAUUUCACUUAGCCAUGCAGCACCUGUGCUAGCCCCCGAAGGACACGGGCUUUCACCCGCUUUAACUAGCAUGUCAAGCCUAGGUAAGGUUCUUCGCGUUGCAUCGAAUUAAGCCACAUGCUCCGCCGCUUGUGCGGGCCCCCGUCAAUUCCUUUGAGUUUUAGCCUUGCGGCCGUACUCCCCAGGCGGGGUGCUUAAUGCGUUAGCUCCGGCACGGAGAGGGUUGAAGACCUCCCCACACCUAGCACCCAACGUUUACGGCUGGGACUAC
rnacentral:misc_RNA from 1 species